ensembl:lncRNA
UAAUUGGCGAAACCCUGGGCUGCUGUAGCGGAGCGCACGAACCCAACCACUCAGCCAUGGGGCCGGCCCCCUAAAGAAUUCUUUAUGUAGCCUUGAUUUUGUCAGUAAUGUGUGUCGCACAUGUCUUCUUCAACUCUAUAAUUGUUUUGUGCAUAUGGCGGGAGGUAAGGAUUCACUUUCCGUUUUUCCCCAUAGGUUUUCCCACCUAUCCCUACAUCGCUUAUUUAUAAUCUGCCCUUCACCCAGCCAUCUGCAGUGCCAUCUGUGAUGUAUCCAUAUUUAUGUAGGUCUGUUGCUGGACUCUUUAUUCUGUUCCAUUUGUCUGUCUGUUCUUAUGCAAACACCAAAAACUAUCUGAAUUAGUCACUUAAUCAUUUCUUGAUAUCUGGUAAAGUAAGUCCUCAUCUUAUUUUUCUUCUUUGAGAGUAUCUUGGCUAUUCUGGCUCUUUGUAUUUCCAUGUAAGUUUUUUCUCCCUUAUAAGUUUUAAAAUCAGCUUGUCAUUUCCAUUAAUAACAACUCAGCUGGUAUUUUGAUUGGGAAUUCAUUGUAGCUAUAAAUCAGCCUGGGGAAAAUUGACACCUUUACCACAUUGAGUCUUUGAUUAGUGAACAUGGUCUGCUUCUGUAUUCAUUUGGGUCUUGAAGGUUUGCCAAUGGGAUUUUAUAAUUUUGUCCAUUAUAGUUUUGCUCAGCUUUUGUUAGGUUUGAUUCAUAGGUACUUCAUAUGUCUUUUAGUCUGUUGUAAACUGUGUAUGUUUGUAAUUUCAUUAUUUUGGGUUUGUUGCUAGCAUAUAGGAUAUACCUUGUCUUUUAACUGGAGCGUUUUGUCCAUUUGUGUUUAAUGUAAUUAAACCUACUGUCUUAUUUUCUGUUUUGUAUUGUCCCAUUUGUGUUUGUAUUUCUUUUUUUCUCCUUUUUUCCCUUCUUUUGGAUUGAGCAAUUCUUUUUUAUCAUUCCAUUUUCUCUCUUCUUCCAGUUUAAAAGUUAUGCAGUCUAUUUCUAUUCUUACUGAAGUCUAGAGUAAUAAAUACUUUUACUCUCCUGGACAACACAAGGACUUCAGGUGACGUUAGCUCCCUUGGUCUCCCUCAUUACCUGAUAUUAUUGUUGUAUGUAUCUAGUUCUGUGUUUUUUUUAAACUCCAACCAAGACAAUAUUUCUUUUUUGUUUUUUGGAAAAUGAAGAUGUAUUUUAAUAGCAUUAAAACUUUUUUUUAUUAUGGUAAAAUAUACAUAAUAUAAAAUUUACCAUUUUAGCCAUUUUAGGUACACGGUUCAGUGGCAUUAAGUACAUACACAUUGUUGUGAACCAUCACCACCAUCCAUUCACAUAACUCUUCAUCCUGUAAAACUGAAAUGCUAUGCCUAUUAAACAUAGCUCCCCAUUCUCCCCUCCCCAGCCCCUGGCAACCACCAUUCUAUUGUCUGUCUCUAUGAAUUUGACUGCUCUAGGACCCUCCCACAAGUGGAGUCAUAGUUUGUCCUUUUGUGACUGGCUGAUUUUACUUAGCAAGAUGUCUUCAAGAUUCAUUCAUGUUGUAGUAUGUGUCGGAAUUUACUUCCUUUUUAAGGCUGACUAAAAUUCCAUUGUGUGGAUGGACCACAUUUUGCUUUUCCAUCCAUCUGACAAUGCACACUUGAGUUGCUUCCACCUUUUGGUUUUUGUUAACAAUGCUGC